UAUGUUUCAACAUGCAUUUUCAGCAGUACUUCUGCGUGUGUUGUGCCCCAGCUAGCAGCUGUGACCUGCUAGCAGGAGGCAGACUGGGGCGAGGGGGAGAAGUGGCACCUACGCCCCUGCGCUCUGCUUCUCUUCCUCCUCCUCCUCCUCUGCCGCUCCUCCGGUGGCAGCCGGGGAGGCUGGGGACCGACCACGGAGAUGUUCUGCGUGGAGCUCCUUGGGGAGCUGUACCAGCUGCUGUGUUGGCAGCCUUGGAGUUGCCUCUGGGUCUGACUUGCCGUCUUGUCUCCUUGAAUAUAAUUGCUCGCUGCUGAUUUUUUUUUUUCUUUCCCUUUGAUUCUGUGGCAUUCAUAUCCUACUCAGAUUCCUCGUCAAUCUUGCAAUCUGGGGAGUCUGAGGAAACGGAGAACUGAUCAUCUGCAGAUUUCUUCUGUAUAUUAUGAAAGUGUCCCUAUGCCAUGUGUGAUUCCAAUCUUUUUUUUGUUUAAUCAGACAGAACAUCAGAGAGUCAGACUGUACCAGCUAGGCCUGCGUGCCGAGCAGGGAAGGAAGGAGCCGCUUCUGUGGAGAUAGUCCCUGCUCCCGGCUCCAUAGAGAGCCCGCUGGGGCAGGACUGCUCGAACAGCAAUGGCUACGGGGAGUCCUCGAGGAGCGGCAGAAUGCGUCUGCCUGGAAAUCUGCACGUGCCGUGGAUGAACCCAUUUCUUGGUCUUUGGAGGUCUUGGAAACCAAAUCACUUCAUGGAACUGGCCAGAAUUUUAAUGAUACCCACCCAGGAUAGGCACGUGCAGUUCCAGGUGUGCAGGAUCUCUGCCCGAAUCCCAGCACAGGAUCGCCCUGGGUGGACUUCAAAGGUGUCCUGGGAGCUUCUUGCAGGAGAAGGGAUUUGCUUCGAGCAUCCCUGGUGAGAAUUUGACUUCCCGUCUUGACGCGCACCGUCCCCGCUCCUUUUCUCCAUAGGAGUGGCUGCAUUUGUGUGGCACUGGAUGCAUGGUAUAUAAAGCAUUUAGGACGAAAAGUCUAUAGAAGUGUGAUACUAAUAAUAUUUUACAGCUUUAAUUACCAUGAUUGUAGUGCCUAGAGGCGUAUGCAAAAACAUUUUGAGUGGGAGGAGAGAAGGCAGCACUGUGAACAUUUUUGUGGUUUUGCUGGGCAAUGUGCAGUUGAGUUUUCUCAUGGGAACCACGGCACGCCAGGGAAAAAAGCUGCCUCUACCUCCUCCUCUGCUCCGUCGGGAUACUGGAUCACACCCCGAAGUCGAGGAGACAACCACAGUCGCUCCCGUUUCAGGCAACGGCUGGGCUGACUGUGCCUCCCUCUGCUUUCAGAGGGGCUCCAGGUGCAGGUGCUGCCCGUUUCCGCAGGCAACGGGUAUUUUCCCUCCGGGAACAUCCCUUCCAGACGAUCAGCGGCAGUUUCGCCUGCGGGAUGAUUUCAGGAUUGGGCAAUUGCCGAUUUGUGGCGUGGAUUUGCCAGCAGCCCCAAGAGCAGCGUGCCCCUUUCUCUGUCAGGGUAUGCAACGCAGAGGGAGCCCUCGCUCCCGCCCAUGCCAUGCGUACGGAGGCAGGGGACGGACAGAGGGGACGGACCGAGGGGCCUUGUGCGGCUGGGCGAGCCCCCCAGUGC